UGGGCGGCAGCAGCAGUGAGAGUGGGCAGCAGCAGAGUGAAAGUGGGCGGCAGCAGCAGCAGAGUGAGAGUGGGUGGCAGCAGCAGCAGCAGUGAGAGUGGGCAGCAGCAGAGUGAGAGCGGGCAGGCAGGCAGGCAGGCUGGUGGACAGGCCAGCAGGCACCCCACAGAGAGUGGGAUAGCGGGCUCCAUGAACAUCAUAAAUAACAACCUCUGCCUUGCUAGGUUCCCUCCUUCUCAUCACCUUCUAACUAACUUACAACUAACAAUACCCGAGUGCUACCCCUGCCCAGGCACACACGAGGGUGUCGCAAAGCACCUGAGGAUAGCACCUGCUCGCUAUCCCCCGGCAAUGCCUAGCCAGUGUGGCACUGAUGACUAUGUGUUGGGGUAAGCGGGGUCCUGGGUGACCCUCUCCCUGGGCAGCACCAUCUCCGUCGCCACAUGACGUCUGUGAAUCUGUUAGCAUCAUCAUCACCAUCAUCAUCAUUAUCAUCAUCAUGUUCUCCGUGGUGAUCUUGUGGAUGGGGGUGUGUUGGUAGUUUCUGGGGGGAGAGGUGUGGUGGGGGUACUAGAGCUGGUGCUGUGUGGGUAGUCGAGUGUGUAGCGGUUCAAACCUGGCUCCUCUCACCUCUAGUUCGCAACACCUUGCUCGGCUCCUCUCCCGCUGCUCCUUGCAGCAUCUACUGCAACGGAUGCUGACCUGCCUAGCCACCAGUGAAUGCAGCUACUAACCUUUCGUCAGCUCCUCUCCUGCGUCAUCUGCAUCGUCUGCAGCGUGUACUGCGUCAUCAGUCAUCGGCAUCGACUGUGAGCAUCGACUUUUUGUGCACUGCGUGGCGCUGGUUACUCCCGAUGACAUUCCAACGAAGGUUGAGUUACAGUGUCUGAGAUUAUCAUCACAAGCGACUGAGUGGGCUCUUUCAAACUCAUCUGCAACACAAAAAUUCGCUGACAUCAUCAGGACAAGUAAGAUAUCAUAGUGAUAGAGGACAGACUGACCGAAACACCGUCGUCAGUUACAUCUUUAAUUUGAGGGUAAGUGAACACGUAGAAGGUAGAAAGGCAGGACAUGACAAAAAAAAAAAGAAAGUCUAGGGAAUUAUGAAGAUAACCCAAUAAAAAUAGAACAGAGUUUAUCAGAAAUGACGGCAGAUAACACUGUGUUAUGGGUUCCUUGUUCCAUAGGUUUAAAAGUUCUGGAGUUAAUUAUUUUCCCAGGACGAGUAACGUAAGUGAACAAAUAAAAUUGAUUUUUUUGCUACGUUGUAUG